ACGGGUUGACCAUGAUCUCGCAUCGCAAGCAAACAAACGAACAGCGAAUGGAACAAUGGUAGUUGAUAGUCUCCAAAAGAAAAUUAAUUUAGCGUAUCUUGGUAGAUACUGAAAUCCUCUGCAUACUAGCACAAGACAAACCACUGCACGCACCAACCACCGUACGCUGAUCCAUUGCAGUCUUUUCAUUGCCAACCCUGGAUAAGUGCUCUGAAAAUUCGUUUACUAACUUCAAUUUCUUAAUUUGCUGAUAGUACCUAAGAAGCAAGGUGGCAAAACUACGACAAAAACAAAGACAUGAGUAGGUAGUCAGAUAGUAAAGGCUAAUAAGCAACUAGAUGAUCAAAGGUUCAAAGCGAAGUUGUAAAAGAGGUGCCAAAUUCUGAUGAACAUCAAUCUAAGUUUUGAUAAACUCUAUUACUGUACAUGGUAUUGGUCACUAAUUAGUACUCAGUACACACAAAAAGGAAGGAAAAACCGGAAAAGAAACAAGAAGAUGAAAAGCAGAGACAUGAAGAAGUAGUCACAUAGUACUAAAAUUUAAGGGACAACUAGAUGAUCAAAGAUUCGAAGUGAUGUCUGCAAAACAAGCUCCAUUUUCUGAAGAACAUCAAGCUGAAGCUUUCAUAGAACUCUUUUACAUGGCACUUAUCAGUGAUCACUAGUCACUACACACCAAAGGAAGGAUAAAAGCAAGAUCAGAAGCAGAGACCUAUUGCUACGUCGAAGAGAGUAAAAUUAAAGCAGCAAGAAAGCAAGAGGAAGGCGGCGAGCUCCAAAAGUUCAGAGAUCGAUGCGCUGCAGCUGCAAGCCUGCAAGGGCGGGUGUGACGUGUGUGUCUCCGGCUAGCUAGUAGCCACCGNNN
rnacentral:lncRNA from 1 species